rnacentral:lncRNA from 1 species
GGCUAGCCGGGGGUGGAAUUCAAUUCCACUCGACCACUUCAGGUUUUGGGGUAGGGAGAGGUGAAUGCCCCAAUACGUAUGCGAUAGAGUAUACAGAUACUUGAAUUGCCUUGAAAUCAUCAAAGAAAGCAACGGGAAAUCAAAGCUUGAUCUUGAUGUCUGACUUUCUUAUUAAAGAAGCAACCAAAAGAGCAAGUGGAGGUAUUCCCUUAGAUUCAAUCUAUCCCUUCUGAGUGAGACGAAGUCCCAUUAGAGAAGACGGUAAUGGAAUCAGGGAUCACAGAAGCUCUCAUCCACUAUCUAAUCGGAAUCAGGAAAGCAAGGUGGAAGAGCUGAGUGGUAAGACUCGUUUACUACAUAAUAAAUAGAAAAAAAAGGCGGUCUAAAAGCAACCAUUAGAUAUAAAAUUCUCCACCUUGAACUUCUAUUCCAUGUCUCUUGAUCUUAGAUACUAUAUUUGACGAUCUAUCUCUAUUAGACAAUCGCUGGACUUGCCCAUCACG